UACGUAGGGUGCGAGCGUUGUCCGGAAUUAUUGGGCGUAAAGGGCUCGUAGGCGGUUUGUCGCGUCGGGAGUGAAAACCAGGUGCUUAACACCUGGCCUGCUUUCGAUACGGGCAGACUAGAGGCAUUCAGGGGAGAACGGAAUUCCUGGUGUAGCGGUGGAAUGCGCAGAUAUCAGGAGGAACACCGGUGGCGAAGGCGGGUCUCUGGGCCGAUACUGACGCUGAGGAGCGAAAGCAUGGGGAGCGAACAGG
rnacentral:rRNA from 1 species